GACGAACGCUGGCGGCGCGCCUAACACAUGCAAGUCGAACGGAGCGCAGCGGAUGAAGCCCUCGGGUGGAAUUUGCUGUUGCUUAGUGGCGAACGGGUGAGUAACACGUGAGUAACCUACCUCCGAGCGGGGGACAACAUUUGGAAACAGAUGCUAAUACCGCAUAAGACCACAGCCGGACAUCCGGCAGGGGCCAAAGCAUUUAUGCACUUGGAGAUGGACUCGCGCCUGAUUAGCUAGUUGGUAAGGUAACGGCUUACCAAGGCAACGAUCAGUAGCCGGACUGAGAGGUUGAACGGCCACAUUGGGACUGAGACACGGCCCAGACUCCUACGGGAGGCAGCAGUGGGGAAUAUUGCACAAUGGGCGAAAGCCUGAUGCAGCGACGCCGCGUGGAGGAAGAAGGUUUUCGGAUUGUAAACUCCUGUCUUCGAGGACGAUAAUGACGGUACCCGAGGAGGAAGCCACGGCUAACUACGUGCCAGCCGCCGCAGUAAUAC
rnacentral:rRNA from 1 species